rnacentral:tRNA from 2 species
GCGCACAUAGUUUAACGGCAAAACGUCGACAGAUGACGAGAGUCGAAAUUAGAGGUUCGAAUCCUCUUGUGCGCA